CCUACGGGCGGCUGCAGUGGGGAAUAUUGCACAAUGGGCGCAAGCCCGAUGCAGCCAUGCCGCGUGUGUGAAGAAGGCCUUCGGGUUGUAAAGCACUUUCAGCGGGGAGGAAGGCGUUAAGGUUAAUAACCUUGUCGAUUGACGUUACCCGCAGAAGAAGCACCGGCUAACUCCGUGCCAGCAGCCGCGGUAAUACGGAGGGUGCAAGCGUUAAUCGGAAUUACUGGGCGUAAAGCGCACGCAGGCGGUCUGUCAAGUCGGAUGUGAAAUCCCCGGGCUCAACCUGGGAACUGCAUUCGAAACUGGCAGGCUAGAGUCUUGUAGAGGGGGGUAGAAUUCCAGGUGUAGCGGUGAAAUGCGUAGAGAUCUGGAGGAAUACCGGUGGCGAAGGCGGCCCCCUGGACAAAGACUGACGCUCAGGUGCGAAAGCGUGGGGAGCAAACAGGAUUAGAUACCCCUGUAGUC
rnacentral:rRNA from 1 species